CGAGCGUGAUGUUACUCCUUGCCGCAGAAGCCGGGGGAGUUGUACAGCACGCUUGUGCCCCUUUGACAGUGUGACCCUGCUGGGAGAUGGGGCAGGACUGCAGGACCAGGAGCCUAAUUAGCACCAUAAUGUUGCACUGAAAUGAGCCUAGAGUGAUAGUUGCGUUUUGCGCGUAAAUCGGGACAAAAUCCUGCUUUAGUACACGUAUGGCAUUGACUAACUUGUACGCAGAAACACACACUGGUUCUGAAAUCGGCCACCACUUCACGUGUCAUCCUUCCUCCUGCAUCUGUCCCUGCACUUCUUUAGCUGACGGAUGCUGCUGACUGAAAUACAGGUUUCCCCGCAGAGGGGCCCCUGUAGCUUGGCAUUCUCAGUGUAUUUGGACGGUGUGUACUUAGUUGGAGAAGGGGUCAGGAUUUCAUACUGAGAUUAUGUGGGUUUCUUGAAAACACUUCCAUACAUUUCAGUGUCUAAAAAGAGGCCAAGUUUGGGGCCAUCACUGCUGAGCUGCAAACCGGAAACUACAGGAAAAUUUAGCAGAAGCAACUUGUGGUACACCUGUGACAGUACCGAUACACCUGGGAGAAGAAUCGGCCCCAGCUCAGCUGCUGCAGUGACUCAGAGACAGGCACUUCCAGGGACGCAUCCCUGUUCCCGGUCCCGGCUGGCCCCGCAGGUGUCCCACCACAGACGGCAGAAGCACCUAAGAUCAUCCAUGCUUGGAUUUCCUUUAUUGGCUGUUUCACAGGAGACUGCAAGGGGGGUUUUAUGCUUCCAUGGCUCCUUUCCAUCCUGCCCUGUGAGGAAGUUACCCAACUACAACGGUGUGCGGUUUCAGACAGAAAACAAAAGCUGGCUGUUUUGAAAUCAAACCAGAAGUGGCUCUAUUACACAUUUCAUGCUAUUGAAAGUAUAUUUGACUAAAUACGUAUUUAAACUAUUGUGGUAUUGUUUUGAAUUCUAAGGUUUUCAAAUGUGUCCAGUGAAUAUGUCACUUCCACAAACUAAGAUUUCAGUUUUGACAUGCAACUCACAUCUAGCCUGAAAAAUUAAUGCUGUAGUUAAAAACAUACUUUUCUUUCUUCAUUAUACUGACAGAAAGCCAAAAGCAAAAUUACCAUGGAAGCUGAAGCUGUUGCUCCUAGAGUGUAUACAGAUAGUUGCAGUAGGAAUACUUUUAUCCAUCCUGCUCAUCAUUAGUUUCUCCCAGCAAGUUCUAGCUGGGGAGUUGAUUUCUUUGGGAUCUAGAGAAUGGAGGGUGGAUUCCCCAGUCAUGGAGCAGGCUUUCACUUCAAAGCAGUUAACGCAUUGUGCACGGA
rnacentral:lncRNA from 1 species